UUCGCAAUGCCCGAAAGGGUGACGAAGCGACGCCGCGUGCGGGAAGAAGGCCUUCGGGUUGUAAACCGCUGUCGGGAGUUAGGAAAUGUAAGGGCGUUAAUAGCGUUCUUGCUUGACUAAGGCUCCAGAGGAAGCCACGGCUAACUCUGUGCCAGCAGCCGCGGUAAUACAGAGGCGGCAAGCGUUGUUCGGAAUUAUUGGGCGUAAAGAGCACGUAGGCGGCCCUAAAAGUCAGUUGUGAAAGCCUUCCGCUUAACGGAAGAACGGCUUCUGGUACUGUAGGGCUAGAGUACGGAAGGGGAGAGUGGAACUUCUGGUGGAGCGGUGAAAUGCGUAGAUAUCAGAAGGAACGCCGGCGGCGAAAGCGACUCUCUGGUCCGAAACUGACGCUGAGGUGCGAAAGCUAGGGGAGCAAACGGGAUUAGAUACCCCGGUAGUCCUAGCCGUAAACGAUGGGCACUAAGUAGAGGGGUUUU
rnacentral:rRNA from 1 species